ACGCGAAGAACCUUACCAAGGCUUGACAUAUACAGGAAUAUGGCAGAGAUGUCAUAGCCGCAAGGUCUGUAUACAGGUGGUGCAUGGUUGUCGUCAGCUCGUGUCGUGAGAUGUUGGGUUAAGUCCCGCAACGAGCGCAACCCUCGUUCUGUGUUGCCAGCAUUUAGUUGGGGACUCACAGGAGACUGCCGGGGUUAACUCGGAGGAAGGUGGGGAUGACGUCAAAUCAUCAUGCCCCUUAUGUCUUGGGCUGCACGCAUGCUACAAUGGCUGGUACAAACGGCUGCAAUACCGCAAGGUGGAGCGAAUCCGAGAAAGCCAGUCUCAGUUCGGAUUGGGGUCUGCAACUCGACCCCAUGAAGUCGGAGUUGCUAGUAAUCGUAGAUCAGCAACGCUACGGUGAAUACGUUCCC
rnacentral:rRNA from 1 species